rnacentral:rRNA from 1 species
UCGAGGAUCUUCGGCAAUGAGCGCAAGCUUGACCGAGCGACGCCGCGUGAGCGAUGAAGGCCUUCGGGUUGUAAAGCUCUUUAGUGGGGGAGAAAAGCCCGCAAGGGUGUGAUCUAUCCCAAAAAUAAGCACGGGCUAAGUUCGUGCCAGCAGCCGCGGUAAGACGAACCGUGCGAACGUUGUUCGGAAUCACUGGGCUUAAAGGGCGCGUAGGCGGGCUGACAAGUCUGGGGUGAAAUCCCGCGGCUCAACCGUGGAACUGCCUUAGAUACUGUCGGCCUCGAGGGAGAUAGGGGCAUGCGGAACUAACGGUGGAGCGGUGAAAUGCGUUGAUAUCGUUAGGAACUCCGGUGGCGAAAGCGGCGUGCUGGAUCUCUUCUGACGCUGAGGCUCGAAAGCUAGGGGAGCAAACG